rnacentral:rRNA from 1 species
UACAGAGGUGGCAAGCGUUGUUCGGAAUUACUGGGCGUAAAGGGCGCGUAGGCGGCCUUCUAAGUCAGACGUGAAAUCCCCCGGCUUAACCUGGGAACUGCGUCUGAUACUGGAAGGCUUGGGUGCGGGAGAGGGAUGUGGAAUUCCAGGUGUAGCGGUGAAAUGCGUAGAUAUCUGGAGGAACACCGGUGGCGAAGGCGGCAUCCUGGACCGACACUGACGCUGAGGCGCGAAAGCUAGGGUAGCAAACGGG